CCUACGGGAGGCAGCAGUGAGGAAUAUUGGUCAACGGCCGGAAGGCUGAACCAGCCAUGCCGCGUGAAGGUCAGUGCCCUAUGGGCGUUAAACUUCUUUUGUGCGGGAGCAAUAAUGGUCACGUGUGGCCAGACGAGAGUACCGUACGAAUAAGCAUCGGCUAACUCCGUGCCAGCAGCCGCGGUAAUACGGGGGAUGCAAGCGUUAUCCGGAUUUAUUGGGUUUAAAGGGUGCGUAGGCUGUGAGGUAAGUCAGCGGUGAAAUGCCCCCGCUCAACGGGGUGAAGUGCCAUUGAUACUGCCUGGCUGGAAUGCGGAUGACGUGGGAGGAAUGUGUGGUGUAGCGGUGAAAUGCAUAGAGAUAACACAGAACACCGAUUGCGAAGGCAUCUCACGAAUCCGCGAUUGACGCUGAUGCACGAAAGCGUGGGUAUCAAACAGGAUUAGAUACCCGGGUAGUC
rnacentral:rRNA from 1 species